GAUUGACGUGACGGUCGUGCCUUACGGGGUAUGAACUGUUGCUGUUGAUUUCUCACCUUCUGGAGAAACUUGAUGUCCUUAAUUGGGUGUCUUGCGGAUCCAGGACCUUUACCUUGAAAAUUAGAGUGUUUAAAGCAGGCAUUUUUGCUUGAAUACAUUAGCAUGGAAUAAUAGAAUAGGACUUUGGUUCUAUUUUGUUGGUUUCUAGGACCGAGGUAAUGAUUAAUAGGGAUAGUUGGG
rnacentral:rRNA from 1 species